rnacentral:rRNA from 1 species
ACGUAGGUGGCAAGCGUUGUCCGGAUUUAUUGGGCGUAAAGGGCGCGCAGGCGGUCCGUUAAGUUCGAGGUGAAAUCUCCCGGCUCAACUGGGAGGGGUCUUCGGAUACUGGCGGACUUGAGGAGAGCAGAGGUGAGUGGAAUUCUCGGUGUAGUGGUGAAAUGCGUAGAUAUCGAGAGGAACACCAGUGGCGAAGGCGGCUCACUGGGCUCCACCUGACGCUGAGGCGCGAAAGCGUGGGGAGCGAACCGGA